UUACCACGAAUGCUGGACUUCCGUCACUGUCAGAACAGCAGCAAAACAGUGUGCCUGGCUGUGUGUGCUCGAAGGAACGAGGAUCAGGCCUCGUCUCUGAAUGUGUAGCCCCACGCUCCUUGAAGCACCUCUGCUCCAAAGGCCAUGCUGCUGCCUGCAUCCCUUUCCUCUAAUGAGAUGCUGAGGCUUUCCUCUGUUUGCACAAUCAGACCAUCAACCCUUCAUGAAAUCUAGCUGGAUGUGCCACAAAGUGACAAGACAUAAUAAACAUAAGGCCAUAUUGACUUUGAAGAAGAAAAAAUACAUUUCCUUCAGUUAGCAAAGGACAGACAAGAUAGCAAUGGCAACAGACAGGGAGACACGAUGCUGUAGCAACCCGGGACAGGGCUCUCUGCAGUGACUAACAGUGGAGGUUACACUGCUUGGCUACAUCCUCAAAACAGUGGAAAGCAAACAGUGAGAAAUAAAAGGGCUAAGCCAGCUACCUGAAUGAUGCUCCUAUUCAAAUGCUUGGCAGUUGACCUCUAAGAUCUUCUCUGUUGCUUUAGGCCCUUGGCUGGUUGUGCUCCUUUAUGCCAUAUGUGAAGUGGUGUUACCAGUAGAAGUGUUUUCAAAUAUUCAGUUAAGAAAAGAUUCCUUCUUACUGUGGCUGAAACUCCUUCAUUCUUGUCUAAUAGAAGUAUUUCAUACUUAUCUUCUUAAAAGUGCACUUUUUUUUCUCUUGUGUCUCCAAAAUCUCAAGAUUAUUUUUAAAUUCUCACUCUCUCCUCCAGUGCAUUAGCAGUCAGUCCUCAAAUGGUGCUGUCUGCAAGUUUAUUGUUUCUUCAUCUGAGAUGGUAAUGAAAUCAGUGCGCAGUUCCAGACCCAGAGAGGCCUCCAUCCAACCCUACUGCAUACCUCUGUACGAGCUUUGGGAGAACUAUCAAUAACCGCUUUUCAGACAUGGUUAUACAACAGACUUGACUGAUGAUGCCACGUAUCACACUCAGUGUCCCCGAUAACUUCAUCAGUGGCCAGAGGAGGUGAGCCCAAGAAACCAUGAGGACCCAUUUCCAACCUUCAGGGUCGUUCACCCUUCCUCCCAAUCUCCUCACACUUCUGCUGUUUACCACACAUCCUGCCAUCCCGCACAGCGUUGCCGGAGGCCUCGCAACAUCAGCAGCUACAGGCAGUGCCUCUCUGAGGAGUAGCUCCCACUGGAGAUCAACACAGAAGACCCUUACAGCACUGGGAAGAGGACCCCAGGUACUUCUCAGUCCCACAUGUCCAGGAGAGAACCUGGAGGUUCUGCAGAAGAGGCUAACAGUGGAAAGGCUCUGAAGAUAUCGCUGUACUUUUCAAAGUAAUUACAGCAGGUUAUGAAAAGCCUUCAGGAACGGCUGCCAAGGUACUGCACCAUCAGAAAGGAAGAACACAGUGCUGGAAACUGUUCAAAUCUGAUGGAAAGUAGACAAAGGAAGACAAAUUUUCAGAGAUGGAGAAUGGAAAUAACAGGGCUGAGGUAAGGGGAAACUGAAAGAUUCAGCAUUCAAGACCACGGAGGGAUACCAUCAAACAAGUCAGGAAAACAAAUGUAGUUGGAAGUUGGAAAGAGCCAGGUACUCUGUAGCUGAAUGGAUUAGCUAAAGCAUGACUGACUAGAAUUACACGUGACUUUUUAAAUUACACAUUUGGCAGUGCUAGGGAUGUGAAGAGAGCAGAGAAGAAUGACCACAUGUUUCCUUUCAACUCAGAGGCAGACUGUUUGGACUGGAAGUGGAUCAGAACUCGUAACAAGCUCUUCGCUCUUUAAAGACUCAUCGGG
ensembl:lncRNA